rnacentral:rRNA from 1 species
GAUGAACGCUGGCGGCGUGCCUAAUACAUGCAAGUCGAGCGAACAGACGAGGAGCUUGCUCCUCUGACGUUAGCGGCGGACGGGUGAGUAACACGUGGAUAACCUACCUAUAAGACUGGGAUAACUUCGGGAAACCGGAGCUAAUACCGGAUAAUAUAUUGAACCGCAUGGUUCAAUAGUGAAAGACGGUUUUGCUGUCACUUAUAGAUGGAUCCGCGCCGCAUUAGCUAGUUGGUAAGGUAACGGCUUACCAAGGCAACGAUGCGUAGCCGACCUGAGAGGGUGAUCGGCCACACUGGAACUGAGACACGGUCCAGACUCCUACGGGAGGCAGCAGUAGGGAAUCGGCCGCAAUGGGCGAAAGCCUGACGGAGCAACGCCGCGUGAGUGAUGAAGGUCUUCGGAUCGUAAAACUCUGUUAUGAGGGAAGAACAAAUGUGUAAGUAACUAUGCACGUCUUGACGGUACCUAAUCAGAAAGCCACGGCUAACUACGUG